GGAUGCGGAUCUCGAAAGCCUGUCCCAGUUCGGACUGGAGUCUGCAACCCGACUCCACGAAGUUGGAUUCGCUAGUAAUCGCGCAUCAGCCAUGGCGCGGUGAAUACGUUCCCGGGCCUUGUACACACCGCCCGUCAAGCCAUGGGAGCCGGGGGCGCCUGAAGUCCGGGACCGCGAGGACCGGCCUAGGGCGAAACUGGUAACUGGGGCUAAGUCGUAACAAGGUACC
rnacentral:rRNA from 1 species